rnacentral:lncRNA from 1 species
GCGCGGCAGAGGGAGGCCCAAGAAGUAUUGGGGAGAGGUGAUUAGGCAGGACAUGGCUAGGAUGCAGGUUUCCGAGGACAUGACCCUUGAUUGGAAAGUAUGGAGGUCUAGAAUCAGGGUUGUAGGAUAGGGGCCCCUAGAGUUUUCCGUUCGCUCAUCCCGGGGAUGGGGGUGGAUCAGCAGGGUUACUUAUGGAUGAGUUGUGUCUAUUGUACGUUACUAUUACUUGCUAUUGCAUGUUGGUAUUUUGUUUCCUUUGUUCGGUUUAUUAUUAACGCUAUUUGUACUGGAAUUUCUAA